rnacentral:rRNA from 1 species
UAGGGAAUCUUCGGCAAUGGACGAAAGUCUGACCGAGCAACGCCGCGUGGUGAAGAAGGUUUUCGGAUCGUAAAACUCUGUUGGUAGAGAAGAACGUUGGUGAGAGUGGAAAGCUCAUCAAGUGACGGUAACUACCCAGAAAGGGACGGCUAACUACGUGCCAC